rnacentral:rRNA from 1 species
AGUGAACGCUGGCGGUAGGCCUAACACAUGCCAGUCGAACGGCAGCACAGUAAGAGCUUGCUCUUACGGGUGGCGAGUGGCGGACGGGUGAGGAAUACAUCGGAAUCUACUUUUUCGUGGGGGAUAACGUGGGGAAACUUACGCUAAUACCGCAUACGACCUACGGGUGAAAGCAGGGGAUCUUCGGACCUUGCGCGAUUGAAUGAGCCGAUGUCGGAUUAGCUAGUUGGCGGGGUAAAGUCCCACCAAGGCGACGAUCCGUAGCUGGUCUGAGAGGAUGAUCAGCCACACUGGAACUGAGACACGGUCCAGACUCCUACGGGAGGCAGCAGUGGGGAAUAUUGGACAAUGGGCGCAAGCCUGAUCCAGCCAUACCGCGUGGGUGAAGAAGGCCUUCGGGUUGUAAAGCCCUUUUGUUGGGAAAGAAAAGCAGCAGGUUAAUACCCCGCUGUUCUGACGGUACCCAAAGAAUAAGCACCGGCUAACUUCGUG